CUCAAGGAGGAGGGAGAGGAGAAAUGAGGAAAAAAAGCCAAAUUUUUUCCUUCAAAGGGUACCUUGGGACAGAGGGAGUGCAGAGCAGAGAAAACCUACCUGUGCAACUGAGAAGGCCGCUCAGGCCACGGGGACCGGGCAGGAAUGCUCUCAGGAGUGUCCUCUGCACCUGAACUUGAUUUCACGCCAUCACCUUCCGCCUCUUAACCAGCAUCUCCUGGACAGUCAGCCGAGUGUUUCCAUGAUACCAGCCAUACCUGAUGCCAGGAGACUCGCUACACUUGGAAGCUCUUCAAGGUUUAACAGCCUCCCAGGAUGUCAACUGGAAGAUCAUGCCACUCCUGACAAUGAGAAGAGAGUGAGGUGGCUGGAGAUACAGCACGUUGAUUAUCUGUGACACGAUCAGUCAGAAGCAGGACCACAUGAAUUCUCCACCAGCAAACAAAAUGACUGGCUUUCUGUGUGAUUCUUCACACUGUGAAUGCAUCUACUAAUAACACCGAUUUUACUUCAGGCAAGAGAAACAGAGCCUCUCAUUUUCCCUUGAGAACAAUGAUUGUUUCUUAAUACUUUUCUUUUUCCCCAUUUCCUUACAGAGGAGUUCCCUGUGCAAGGGAAGCACAUGGUAGGGUUAAUGCUACACGGAACAUGAACUUUGAAGAUCCUCAUUUUGGUUUCCAUGAAGGUGGUGAAGGUUCUCCAAAUAAAAGCAUUUCCAAUAAGGGUGAAGAGUAGAGAGCAGUGAUGUUUCCAAAAAGUUUAGCAUUCCU
rnacentral:lncRNA from 1 species